rnacentral:lncRNA from 1 species
AUGUCUGUCACACAGCAUGUAUCUCCCCGUGCGAUCGCAACAUCUGCAUCGUGGCCCUGCUUUCCUCCCAGUCCUGCCCAUCGCAUCCGAAAAAGCCUCCAGAAAGCAAAGUGUUCAGCUGUGCUGUUUGGUAGAAGUGGUUCUACCACGACUGUAGGAAGCCUCACUUCCCCUGCUCCCCAGCCCUUUCCAAAACUGCGGAUGUGCCCGUUGCUUUACACAGGGCAAGCUUUUCCAGGGAAUAAAGUUAGCACCUCUUUUGUGGAGACCCACCUCCACCUCCAGUCAAACCUGAAUGGCCUCCGGGUGGGGAAAGCUUUUCCAAGUGCUUAGCAGAAAGGGCAUUGUGUAAGUGACCCACUGCCGCUGGGGACCAAGGUCCUAAAUGUCCUCAUGUGUUGUCUCGAUUCAGGGGUAAAAAUGGUUUUUGUUGUUUCUUUGGCUUUAUUUAUGAGUCUUUGCUGACCAAGUCCCAUGCUGCCAGUGUUUAUGUGAGUUACUAUGUGCGAUUGGUAAGGGGAGAACCAGAUGCAAUUUGGGGGCUGUGCAGACCUUGUUAGCAGAGUAUUCACUUUAUUUUUCUCCUCGAGGUUUGCAGAACUAGUUUAACAACUGUUUUUUCUUGUAAUUUAAGCAUUUGAGGGGGCGCUUGCUACUUUAUUUUUUUUUUUUCAUAAGCAGAAGGGACUUUUAAAAAAGCACUUUAAAAUGCAAUUAGAAGGGUAUGUGAGAUACAUGUUAAAACCGUGCGACCCUCACAACUAUCUCUGGGCUCUGUUCUGCACUUCUGUUUUACAAACACCAUGUAAUUCCCUGACAGAUCCAACGGGCACCUGAAGAGUUGCUUAAGACUGAAAGGCACCUGAACAGCAGCAGCGACCCUCAACAUACAGCGCUGCCAAGCAGUCAAGGAAUACUGAGGCAAAUUAACCAGACUGGUGGAACUGGAGGAGGGAGAUCGGGGAGUCACCCCUCUCUAGAGACCUUCAAAACCCAUCUGGAGGAGUGCCUGUGUCACCUGCUCGCGAUGACCCUGCCUUGGCAGGGGGUCGGAUCUCGAUGGUGUCCAGAGAUCCCUUCCGGCCCUAACGAUCCUGUGGGAUCUGCAGUAGGACCACCAGAUCGCUGGGACCUCGAUUGUCUCCCCCCGCUGCGACACUCCCCGCCUUCCCCGCUGCGCUCUCCCCUCCCCCUUCACGCGGCAGCCCCAUUUCUUCCCUUCGCACUUUUCACGUUUUGUUUCUAAAAAUCACCGG